AUUGAACGCUGGCGGCAGGCCUAACACAUGCAAGUCGAACGGUAACAGAAAGCAGCUUGCUGCUUUGCUGACGAGUGGCGGACGGGUGAGUAAUGUCUGGGAAACUGCCUGAUGGAGGGGGAUAACUACUGGAAACGGUAGCUAAUACCGCAUAACGUCGCAAGACCAAAGAGGGGGACCUUCGGGCCUCUUGCCAUCGGAUGUGCCCAGAUGGGAUUAGCUAGUAGGUGGGGUAACGGCUCACCUAGGCGACGAUCCCUAGCUGGUCUGAGAGGAUGACCAGCAACACUGGAAUUGAGACACGGUCCAGCCUCCUAGGGGAGGAAGGAGGGGGGAAUUUUGCACAAGGGGCGGAAGCCUAAGGCAGCCAUGCGGGGUGGAUGAGGAGGGCCUUGGGUUUGUAAAGUUUUUCGGGGGGGGAGGAAGGGAGAAAAGUUAAUACUUUUGCUCAUUGACGUUCCCCGAAAAAGAAGCCCCGGCUACCCCCGUG
rnacentral:rRNA from 1 species